rnacentral:rRNA from 1 species
GAUGAACGCUGGCGGCGUGCCUAAUACAUGCAAGUCGAGCGAACAGAUGAGGAGCUUGCUCCUCUGACGUUAGCGGCGGACGGGUGAGUAACACGUGGAUAACCUACCUAUAAGACUGGGAUAACUUCGGGAAACCGGAGCUAAUACCGUAUAAUAUAUUGAACCGCAUGGUUCAAUAGUGAAAGACGGUUUUGCUGUCACUUAUAGAUGGAUCCGCGCCGCAUUAGCUAGUUGGUAAGGUAACGGCUUACCAAGGCAACGAUGCGUAGCCGACCUGAGAGGGUGAUCGGCCACACUGGAACUGAGACACGGUCCAGACUCCGACGGGAGGCAGCAGUAGGGAAUCUUCCGCAAUGGGCGAAAGCCUGACGGAGCAACGCCGCGUGAGUGAUGAAGGUCUUCGGAUCGUAAAACUCUGUUAUUAGGGAAGAACAAAUGUGUAAGUAACUAUGCACGUCUUGACGGUACCUAAUCAGAAAGCCACGGCUAACUACGUG